CCUACGGGUGGCAGCAUUGGGGAAUAUUGCACAAUGGGCGCAAGCCUGAUGCAGCCAUGCCGCGUGUAUGAAGAAGGCCUUCGGGUUGUAGAGUACUUUCAGCGGGGAGGAAGGUGUUGUGGUUAAUAACCGCAGCAAUUGACGUUACCCGCUGAAGAAGCACCGGCUAACUCAGUGCCAGCAGCCGCGGUAAUACGGAGGGUGCAAGCGUUAAUCGGAAUUACUGGGCGUAAAGCGCACGCAGGCGGUCUGUCAAGUCGGAUGUGAAAUCCCCGGGCUCAACCUGGGAACUGCAUUCGAAACUGGCAGGCUAGAGUCUUGUAGAGGGGGGUAGAAUUCCAGGUGUAGCGGUGAAAUGCGUAGAGAUCUGGAGGAAUACCGGUGGCGAAGGCGGCCCCAUGGACAAAGACUGACGCUCAGGUGCGAAAGCGUGGGGAGCAAACAGGGUUAGAUACCCCCGUAGUC
rnacentral:rRNA from 1 species